CUCCGUUAGCUUUCUUGCUAACGUUAGCUUUUAGCUACUAGCUGCGUUAGCUGUCAGCUCUGUAGACCAAUCGGAGAGCAGAACAGCUAACCGCUAACUAGCCAACCACGGCCCCUCCAGGCAGCUCUGUUCCGGUAGUUCACACAGCAGAAGCCGGAGCACCGGGUCCUCCACGGACGGCUCAUUGCACAGGAACGGGGACUCACCUCUGACUGCAUCGACCCAGCGUCUGCAGCGACAAACACCCCACGUCACCACGUCACUACUUCACCCGAGGCAUUUCACAGAAGUCUGGCCGAGAACAGGCUGCUCUCUGCGGCGUGAGAUGAGACCAACCGACCGCAGAAGUGUUGCUUGAACAACUAACUUCUCGUCUGAAAAUGUCCUAAAAUGACAUGCCGUGACUUAAAAUAUGGUAGUAUUUAUGAACUUGGACCUACACAUAUAAAGGAAGGGCGUAAGAUCGGCGCUUUGAAAACCUGCCCUCGUUGCUUUAACUGUGAGAUUUCAUGUAUACACACUAGUGAGUGUUUCAGAUAGAUACGUAUAAAUGUUUCACUUAAAUGCAUUUUUUAAACUAACCCAUAGCCUUACAUUUUAAGACAUAGCCUUAUAUUUUAUUUUAUUCCUCUUGCACUAUGUUGUCUUAUCUGUCUUGUUGUCCAUUGUCUUAACUGUAUGUAUGUCUAACAUAUUUUGGUAAUAAAUGUUUUCAUUAGUGUGCAAUAUUAACUUUGAUGUCUACGAAGUUAAAGUUGUGUCAAAAGAGUCCCUUUAGAAAACCUCUCAUCUAAUCUUUAAGAGUUCAACUGGAUCGGAGAGAAAAGAAACUCGGGUUAGCUUUAAGCAGACACCAUCAUCAUCACUGAAGGUGUGUAUGUGUGUCAAUGAAUCAAACAGAAGUACAAGAAGAAUAACAUGGUUUUAUUACAAUUUAAUUUGGCUACAUUUAUUCGAGCAUGAUCAUUUCCAAAGAAAUUAAAAAUUCAAUAAUAAUACUUAAGACAUUAUCGUCAUCGUCAUUCGUCCUUCUUAGUGGGAUGAAUAAUGUGGAUUUAACUCUCAGAAAUACAGUGUUUACACAAUAAUCAUUGUAUCAAAAGUUCACCAAAUUCUCCAAAUUUAGAAUGUCCAGUAGUUUCAAAGAAAAACAAGCAAAA